CAGAGAUGACCCUUUCUCCCCGCUGGUGGGGAAGGAGCUCCUGGCUGGGCCAGGAGGUGGACGUGCCCAGCCUUCUGGCGGAGGAACCCGCUCCCGGC